rnacentral:tRNA from 1 species
GGAGAGAUAGCUCAGUGUUAGUGCACGAGGCUUGUACACCUCCUGAGGUCCUAGGUUCAAGCUCUAGUAUCACCA